GGGUAACAUCAAUACCCAGAAGAUAUUCAGAAUACCCCACUGGAAAGGUUCUGAGAAGGAAUACAGUACAAUAACAAAAAAGCCCUGAUGGUCCGGUCAGCGUGAAGAUUAUCAAAGGAGCAGUAAUAGUUCACCAUGAGUAAGACAUUCCAUUUCUAAAGACAUCUGGUCAUGCUGAAACAGAUCUGCAAAUCCUGUUGCAGGGCUGCUCGGAAAGUAGCAUCUCCUAUUUCAUUACAUUGGCCUAUGAUGACAGAGGCAUAUGUUGGUGGUGUACAGUAGAAGUUGUGACUCUGCACCAGUAUUCCAUUAUACUUUAUUGCUGUGUGACAAAUGACAAAAAGUCAUCUGACAUGGAAGUGCAUAUGAAGCAAACGCAUGUCAUUGAAUUCCUCCAUACAGGUAAAAUGGCACCCAUUGACAUUCAUUGACAUUUGCUGAAUAUUUAUACAGACCAAACAGUGGAUGUGAGCACUGUUGUGAGGCGGUGGGUGGUGCAGCAGUGGUGACAGUGAUGUGAAAGACAAUCCACGUUCCGGAGAGCCAUGCAGAUUUUGAUGAGUGUAGCAUGUGGGCUUUGUUCAUUAGUGGCAAAAAAAAAAAAAAAAAAAAAAAGUGUAGUUAAUGGUGAUGACUGUGGUGAAAAAUAGUGUUUCUGCAGCCAGAAACUUGUUAUAUCAAAUAGUGUAAUUUUUUCCUCGUAUCUAUUACAGAUUCAAUGAAAAUAAAUAGGACGUAUUACUUUCAGAGCUAGCUGAAAUGGAAUGAUGAAGAUAUGGCAGGCCAGUGGAGGUCAAUACGAUCCCUUAUGCUCUUGCCGAGUAAACCAGCCAUACGAUAUCAGCAUCGCAUACCUUGUAGCUGCAUGUAAUGAUUUUUGCCAAAGGCAACAUACCGAAUCAAGCUUCACCCACCCAGAGGAGUCGCUGAGUCCGAGCACUGCAUCAGCCAUCCAGUAAAGGAAUUGAAGACGUGAGAGAUGGAAGAAACAAUUGGUCAUCUAAUCUCUUUUUCUAUUUUUGCUGGUCUUGUUGCCUGGGAGAUGUUGUAUUAAAAGGAGUUGCCUACAUAGUCACUUCACUUACAAGCUGCCUCAUUGUAAAAACAUCAUUUAAAAAUAAAGUUUAAAAAUACUUGUAGACUGAAAAUGUU
rnacentral:lncRNA from 1 species